GGCGGCGUGCCUAAUACAUGCAAGUAGAACGCUGAAGGAGGAGCUUGCUCUUCUGGAUGAGUUGCGAACGGGUGAGUAACGCGUAGGUAACCUGCCUGGUAGCGGGGGAUAACUAUUGGAAACGAUAGCUAAUACCGCAUAAUAGUAGAUGUUGCAUGACAUUUACUUGAAAGGUGCAAUUGCAUCACUACCAGAUGGACCUGCGUUGUAUUAGCUAGUUGGUGGGGUAACGGCUCACCAAGGCGACGAUACAUAGCCGACCUGAGAGGGUGAUCGGCCACACUGGGACUGAGACACGGCCCAGACUCCUACGGGAGGCAGCAGUAGGGAAUCUUCGGCAAUGGACGGAAGUCUGACCGAGCAACGCCGCGUGAGUGAAGAAGGUUUUCGGAUUGUAAAGCUCUGUUGUAAGAGAAGAACGAGUGUGAGAGUGGAAAGUUCACACUGUGACG
rnacentral:rRNA from 1 species